UUGAAAGUCAUUAGCCUGUUAUAAUAUUCCCUUACAACAUCUACAUCCCUCGUCAGCAGUUCUUAGCGUUGGAUUGAGACAUCUAUAAUCUCCUACAUAUCCUUUCUUGUCUGCAAAUAAGUAUUUUCUAGAACUUUUUUUUGGAACUUAUCUUCAGUGAUUAGUGCUUGGACUUUUCAUCAAAUUCACUCAGAGAAAAGGAAAGCGAAGUUGAAGAGCUAGUUGUCUCCGUCUUGAUUUUGGGUCUUCUAUUAGUUUCUCUCUCCUCUUGACUAGUCCUCCUCUAUAAACACGACAGUGAUCGGUGACGCGGGACUUAGAAGAAUCCAUGGCAUAUCUCCUUCACGUGAACGAAAAUUGAUCUCGAGACUCGGAUUCAACGAUUAUACCUCUGAGAUCAAGUAAAAUACCACCAACCUCAAAUUCUUUUAGUCAUAAAUUCAAAUUCAUACCUCAGGUUGAUACCGCUCGUCCUCUCUUUCAUUGUUUCUCUCUAGAUUUCUUUCAUCUUUAUUCUAUUUAUAUGUCAAAUUCAAGAGGGCCUCAGUUUGAGGGGGAUUGCUUCAAAUAAAAUAAUUUCAUUUUAUGUUUAGUUUGAAUAUUUUUAUUUAUUGGGAUUAUGUUUUGUAAAAAGAUGCAAGUCGUGAUAUAAGACUUCGGGCUUGAGGGGAGUGUUACAGUAUUCUAAACGAAUAGAAAUAGUUUGAUUCGCAUAAUCUUAGGAUUGAUUUGAUUAACAUAAUUAGCGGUGUUAGGAUUAUUCUAGACGCAUCAUCAGUGGUAAUCAUUGAUAUUAUUGAUUGUUUUCCUUUCUAAGGUAACAAUAUAUCCCAUAUUUCUUUGCUUUCAAGGCCAAUUUGAAAAUCAUUAGCUUGUUGUAAUAUCCCCUUACAACAUCUACCUCCCUUGUCAGCAGUUCUUUGCAUUGGGUUGUACAUCUAAUCUCCAACCAAUCCUUACUGCAAGAUGGUCUUUUCAAGCACCAUUUUUGGAACUUUUCUACAGUGAUUGGUGUUUGGACUUUUCAUCAGAUUCACUCAGAGAAAAACAAAGCGGAGUCGAAUGGCUAGUUGUCUCGGUCUUGAAUUUGGAUCUUCUAUCAGUUUAUUUCUCCUCUUAAAUGGUUAUCCUCAUCUGUAAACACAACAAUCUGGUGACACAGUGGACUUUGGAAGAAUUCAUGGCAGAUCUCCUUCUAGCACCCCACAUGAACGAAAAUUGAUCUUAAGACUCAGGAUUCGCCUACCUCAAAUUCUUUUUUAGUUGCAAAAUCAAAUUCAUACAUUGAUACCGCUCUUGCUCUCUUUCAUUGUUUCUCUAUCUAAAUUUCUUUGAUGCUUUUUAUUAUUAUUAUUCGUGCAAUUUGAAGAGAGCCUCAAUUUUGAGGGAGUUGUUGGGAAUAAAUAAUUUUGUUUGAAUCUUUUUAUUUUGGGGAUUAUAUUUUGUAACAAGUUGUAAGUCGUGAUAUAAGACUUCUAGCUUGAGGGGUAGUGUUAAGAGUAUCCUAUAGGAAUAUAAAAUUAGUUUGAUUAGCAUAAUCUUAAGAUUGACUUGAGUUACAUAAUUAGUGGUGUUUGGAUUAUUCUAGAUGCAUGCAAUGUCACUGGUAAUCAUUAAUAUUCUUGAUUGAUUUCUUUUUCAAGGUAGCAAUUUAUCCCAUCUUUCUUUGCUUUAAAGGCCAAAUUAAAAAUCAUUAGCUUGUUGUAAUAUCCCCGUGCGACAUUUACCUACCUUGUCAAUAGUUCUUUACAUUGGAUUAUACAUCUAUAAUCUUCAACCAAUCAUUUCUUCUUUGCAAGAUAGGUCUUUUCGAGCACCUUUUUUGACCUUGUCUUCAGUGAUUGGUGCUUGUACUUUUCAUCCGUCACUCGGAGAAAAAGAAAGCGGAAUCGAAGGGCAAGUCAUCUCCGUCUUGACUUUGGGUAUUCUAUCAGUUUAUCAAUCCUCUUAACUAGUCCCGUAUUCUAUCAGUUUAUCUUGCCUCUUGACUAGUUCUCCUUUAUAAACGCGGUGGUGACUAGUGAUGUGAUGGACUUUUAGUAGAAUCCAUUGUAGUUAUCCUUCUUCUAACACCCCACAUGAACAAAAUUUGAUCUUGAGACUCAAAUUCAACGAUUAUAUUUCCAAAAUCGAGUAAAAUAUAGUCUAUCAUAAAUUCUUUUUUAAUCGCAAAAUCAAAUUCAUACCUUUCACUGAAACCGUUCGUGUUUUCUUUCAUUGUUUCUCUCUCCAGAUUUCCUUUAUUCCUUUUUUUUUAGUUUGGACAAAUUGAAAAGGAACUCAAUUUGAGGGGGAGUGUUGGAGAUAAAAUAAUUUCACUAUAUGUUACAUUUAAAUCUUUGAAUUUUUGGAUUAUGUUUUGUAACAAACUGUAAGCCAUGAUAUAAGACAUCCAGCUCGAGGAGAAAUGUGUAUUUUCCUCUAGAAUUAGUUUGAUUCGGAUAAUCUUGCAUUGAUUUGAUUGACAUAAUUAGUCGUGUUAAGAUUAUACUAGAUGCAUGGUCAGUGGUAAUCAUUGACAUCACUAAUUGAUUUCUUUUCCAUGUUUAGCUUUAAAUUUUAGUUGCUUUCCCUUGUAACAGUCUUUUAGCUCUCAUAAAUUACAUUAAUUUUGUAUGCAAGAAAUAAAUAUCCAGAAAAAAAAAACACACACACACACACUUACACUUGUGCCUUGCACUUGCACGGGAUUUUUAAGCAGUUAGCCUAAUGUACCAAUUAUUAACUUAAGGAUCCUCUAGAUUAGUUCCAAACAGAGCUUAGUUCCGACACUUUCAAAUAGGCCACUCUCUCGUACCAUUUGUUAUGAUCGAUCCCCAAAUGAACCUGGUCCACUAGUACAAAAACCCCAGGGUCAACUGAGCCUACCACUAGUGCACCCACCUAAAAUCUUGCGUGGAAGACAACACUGAGACAAGUAAUACAUUAUUAUCAAAAGAGGGAAGUAAAAACAUUAUUAUCAAAAGAGGCAAGUAAUUACAUUAUUAUCAAAAGAUGAAAGUAAACCACCAUAAUAUAUUUUGGGGAGCACUCUUUACACAAUCUAUUUGUGCUAGCUCCACAAGUUUUCUUUCACAUAAAAAUGGGUGGGACCCACCUCACUCACAUGUGAGAGGAAGAGUUGUGAAAUUUUCAAAAAUGUAUAUCUAUAGAGACUUGUGGAAACCCUAUAUUUUCAACAAAAAAUAAUAUUUUGCAGCCAUGGAUAAAUAUUUAAAUCUGCAACAGUAGACAAAAUGAAAGCAAGUAAAUGACCAUGAAUACCAACGAGCAAGGUUUUUAAAACCGAACCGGUCAUCGAACCGGAAAAGUUACCGGGUGGAUGAAUCACUGGUCCAACCAGUGGUCGGAUCGUUAUUGACCCAGUGACGUCAUU
rnacentral:lncRNA from 1 species